rnacentral:rRNA from 1 species
CCUACGGGAGGCAGCAGUGAGGAAUAUUGGUCAAUGGGCGCGAGCCUGAACCAGCCAAGUAGCGUGAAGGAUGACUGCCCUACGGGUUGUAAACUUCUUUUAUAAAGGAAUAAAGUGAGGCACGUGUGCCUUUUUGUAUGUACUUUAUGAAUAAGGAUCGGCUAACUCCGUGCCAGCAGCCGCGGUAAUACGGAGGAUCCGAGCGUUAUCCGGAUUUAUUGGGUUUAAAGGGAGCGUAGAUGGGUUGUUAAGUCAGUUGUGAAAGUUUGCGGCUCAACCGUAAAAUUGCAAUUGAUACUGGCAUCCUUGAGUACAGUUGAGGUAGGCGGAAUUCGUGGUGUAGCGGUGAAAUGCGUAGAUAUCAGGAGGAACACCGGUGGCGAAGGCGGCCUGCUGGACUGCGACUGACGUUGAGGCCCGAAAGCGUGGGUAGCAAACAGGAUUAGAUACCCGUGUAGUC